GAGGCUGAGAGCCAUUCCUGGCCUUUUGUGUGCUAGCCAGCCUGCUGCUUUGCUGCCAGAGCCUUCACUGCAGCAGCUAAAAGAGAGACAAUCGUCUGUCUAGAGAGGUUACAGCACAGCACACAUUUCAACCAGCUUUACAGGCAUCCACAAAGAGAAACAAGGAAUAAAAUGUAUGCAUUGGCAAGGCAAGCUGGCAUACACUGUCCUCCUCAGGGAUGUGACGACUUCUCAGCAAACCCUGUGGGAUUUUGUUCUCAGCAAUCCCUGCGGGAUUUACCGACAUUGUUCCCUCUGAUAUACUCCCACCCAUGCAAUGUAGUGUCCCAUCCUGCACAAGGGAUAACACUGAUUUGUGGUUUAUUCUCCUGCAUAUCUCUGUAAAUAAAAUGGGAGGGACCUAACAGAAGCAGAAGACAUCAAGAAGAGGUGCAAGAAUA